AUUGAACGCUGGCGGCAUGCUUUACACAUGCAAGUCGAACGGUAACAGGCCGCAAGGUGCUGACGAGUGGCGCACGGGUGAGUAAUGCAUCGGAACGUUCCCAGUCGUGGGGGAUAACUACUCGAAAGAGUAGCUAAUACCGCAUACGAUCUAUGGAUGAAAGCGGGGGACCGUAAGGCCUCGCGCGAUUGGAGCGUCCGAGGUCAGAGUAGGUAGUUGGUGGGUAAAGGCUCACCAAGCCAACGAUCUGUAGCUGGUCUGAGAGGACGACCAGCCACACUGGGACUGAGACACGGCCCAGACGCCUACGGGAGGCAGCAGUGGGGAAUUUUGGACAAUGGGCGCAAGCCUGAUCCAGCAAUGCCGCGUGCAGGAAGAAGGCCUUCGGGUUGUAAACUGCUUUUGUACGGAACGAAACGGCUCUGGUUAAUACCCGGGGCUAAUGACGGUACCGUAAGAAUAAGCACCGGCUAACUACGUG
rnacentral:rRNA from 1 species